rnacentral:rRNA from 1 species
UACGGAGGAUCCAAGCGUUAUCCGGAAUCAUUGGGUUUAAAGGGUCCGUAGGCGGUUUUGUAAGUCAGUGGUGAAAUCUGGUCGCUCAACGAUCAAACGGCCAUUGAUACUGCAAGACUUGAAUUAUUGGGAAGUAACUAGAAUAUGUAGUGUAGCGGUGAAAUGCUUAGAUAUUACAUGGAAUACCAAUUGCGAAGGCAGGUUACUAUCAAUAUAUUGACGCUGAUGGACGAAAGCGUGGGGAGCGAACAGG